rnacentral:rRNA from 1 species
UACGGGGGGGGCAAGCGUUGUUCGGAAUUACUGGGCGUAAAGGGCUCGUAGGCGGCCAACUAAGUCGGACGUGAAAUCCCUCGGCUUAACCGGGGAACUGCUUCCGAUACUGGAUGGCUUGAGUGUGGGAGAGGGAUGCGGAAUUCCAGGUGUAGCGGUGAAAUGCGUAGAUAUCUGGAGGAACACCGGUGGCGAAGGCGGCAUCCUGGACCAAUUCUGACGCUGAGGAGCGAAAGCCAGGGGAGCAAACGGG